CUUCUUUUGUUGAUGGGGAUCUGGCAUGCAGCCUGGGUCUUGUAAUGUCCAGAGGCAGAGGGAAAGGGCUCUGGACCACUCUGAGACAGGUUUUCUUCCACAUUUCCAGUUCACUGUUUCUAUCUUCAAGCACCCGACACGG